rnacentral:tRNA from 1 species
GCCCUGGUGGCACCAUGGUUAAGCGCUUGGCUGCUAACCAAAAGGUUGGUGGUUCUAAUCUGCCCUGUGGCU